GAUGAACGCUAGCGGGAGGCCUAACACAUGCAAGCCGAGCGGUAUUGUUUCUUCGGAAAUGAGAGAGCGGCGUACGGGUGCGGAACACGUGUGCAACCUGCCUUUAUCUGGGGGAUAGCCUUUCGAAAGGAAGAUUAAUACUCCAUAAUAUAUUGAACGGCAUCGUUUGAUAUUGAAAGCUCCGGCGGAUAGAGAUGGGCACGCGCAAGAUUAGCUAGUUGGUGAGGUAACGGCUCACCAAGGCAAUGAUCUUUAGGGGGCCUGAGAGGGUGAUCCCCCACACUGGUACUGAGAAAAGGACCAGACUCCUACGGGAGGCAGCAGGGAGGAAUAUUGGUCAAUGGGUGCAAGCCUGAACCAGCCAUCCCGCGUGAAGGACGACUGCCCUAUGGGUUGUAAACUUCUUUUGUAUAGGGAUAAACCUACCCUCGUGAGGGUAGCUGAAGGUACUAUACGGAUAAGCACCGGCUAACUCCGUGCCAGCCGCCGCCGUAAGAC
rnacentral:rRNA from 1 species